rnacentral:rRNA from 1 species
GACGAACGCUGGCGGCGUGCUUAGCACAUGCAAGUCGAACGGAAAGGCCCUGCUUUUGUGGGGUGCUCGAGUGGCGAACGGGUGAGUAACACGUGAGUAACCUGCCCUUGACUUUGGGAUAACUUCAGGAAACUGGGGCUAAUACCGGAUAGGAGCUCCUGCUGCAUGGUGGGGGUUGGAAAGUUUCGGCGGUAGGGGAUGGACUCGCGGCUUAUCAGCUUGUUGGUGGGGUAGUGGCUUACCAAGGCUUUGACGGGUAGCCGGCCUGAGAGGGUGACCGGCCACAUUGGGACUGAGAUACGGCCCAGACUCCUACGGGAGGCAGCAGUGGGGAAUAUUGCACAAUGGGCGGAAGCCUGAUGCAGCAGCGCCGCGUGCGGGAUGACGGCCUUCGGGUUGUAAACCGCUUUCGCCUGUGACGAAGCGUGAGUGACGGUAAUGGGUGAAGAAGCACCGGCUAACUACGUG